GUGGGGUUUUACGUGCCAAAACCACUUUCUGAUUAUGAGGCACGCCGUAGUAGGGGACUCCGGAAAUUUCGACCACCAGGGGUUCUUUAACGUGCACCUAAAUCUAAGUACACGGGUGUUUUCGCAUUUCGCCCCCAUCGAAAUGCGGCCGCCGUGGCCGGGAUUCGAUCCCGCGACCACGUGCUCAGCAGCCUAACACCAUAGCCACUGAGCAACCACGGCGGGUGCAAGUAUGUCAUGGCAAAGAUGUUAUGACCUUUCAUUCAUGUUAUACAUGCAUGCAUGUCAUGCCCCCCUCCUAAUGGCUACGCUGAUAUAUACCCAGUUGAAGAAACAACCACGACAGCAUCAUGACGUUCGUGUUGGCAAAAUUUGGCGCAGUUGGCACAGGGGUGAAACUGCUCACUGUCAUUCAACUGACAGUGGCACAAAGCUAUCAAGCUCGUGCUACUUCUGAUUGGAUGACAAUCUUCUGUUUGAUAAAACAACCUCCACCUCCAGACUUUCCACGUAACUUAUUUCUCUAUUGAAUGUUUCUGCCCUUUAAGUUCUCAAUUUGCUCUCGCCCAUCACCCAUUAGCCUCCUGGUUAGUUCAGUAGUAAGUAAAACUGCCCUGGAAAAGUGGUGGCAUCGUGUCGGAUCCAUUAACCACAACAAACGUUUGUUUAACUACGAAAAUUUCUUUCAGGAGAAACUGUCCGUUUCCUUUGUAGUUUGUGGGGACGCUCGGAUAUAUCGCAUCUCCUGUCUUUCGGCUUUCUUGUGUGACACAUAUGCAACAACAGAAGUCAGCGUCAUAAGCUAUGCAGCUGCAAAGAGAGAUGGCAGAAAAUGGAUUCGGAAAUUGCCUGCGCUUUACCACCGGAUACGAGACCAAAACAGUGUUCGUGGCAUUGGCAAUGGCCGACAUUAAAAGCCAUGAGGCACAGCACCAUCACCAUCACAAAAUGGCAACAAACCAUGUUUUCGUCAUGGAGGAAGGACAAUGGUUUUUGUGAAGUUGCUGUGGGUUCAUUUUGUGCUCGACUACGAUAUGGAGCGGUAUUCUCCGUCGGUCACUUUCGAAGAUACUAUCAUUUUCGCAAGAUUUCAUGCAAACGGGAACAAAUUGCGUAGGCUUAUUUGGCCAGCAGUAUUUCUGGUGCUGUGCGAAGCGAUAUUAGGGUGCCUCAAUGGCCUCCUUGCCCGCUGUGAUGAGGUGCGCAUUGAAGCACCUUACUCGCUUUCUGUGCACUGUGCCAGGAAUGCUGUUGGCUGCAUACUUCAACAAAUCCGAUGCAGAGUCACAUAAAAUGCCGUGAAAGUGAUAGCAGUACUUCUAAAUGUGAUCAUUUGAGAACACCGCCCCUGUGUGCUUGUUAUCUGUGAUCAAUGAAGCACAAAUUACAUCAACAUGCCAUCUUCAUUGUGAAAGCUUAUUUUCCAAAAAUGCUUCCCUUCUGUGAACGUAAAUUCUGCAUGUCUUUUUUUUUCCUGAUCACAAACGUGGAGGGAAUGCUAUAUUUUUCAUUUAUAAAUCAGGGGAAUGUUACAUUCAGGUGCACUUUUAUUUUUUUUAAAUUUCAACCCACAAAAAUGGAGUGUGCAUUAGAUUCAGGGGCGCAUUAGAAUCAUGUACAUAUGGCAUUUUGGCUAGUUGGCAACGUACAAAAGGAGCAAUAAAUGCCCUUUUUGUAUGUUUGAACUUGCAUACUUUGUUACCAAGAGCACUGAGACCCCUCAAAUUUCAUGCUUUCAGGUGGCCAAUUUUCACUUUCAUGGCUCAUUUAUAUAGACCUGCACUGUAAGUAAAUUAUUACAACCUAGUUUAUACCUUCAUUAGCGGUAUCAAAAAUGGAUAUUUUUGCUAGUUUUUCGUGGCAUAUACACUCAUAUUUCAAUCAUAAAAUUUUCCACAGAGGCUCCCCUGCACCUAUGCAAUCUGAAAAUCACAACUAGGCUUUUUAUAUGGCUCAAAAUUUAUGAACAUGAACAUGCUACAGCAUGAAAAAUUUUUUUUUGUUUUGUUUUGAUUUCCAUUUGUCCUUGAGUCAAAUACUAAGCAAGGGCUAGAUU